rnacentral:rRNA from 1 species
UACGUAGGGAGCAAGCGUUGUCCGGAAUCAUUGGGCGUAAAGAGCUCGUAGGCGGUUCGGCAAGUCACGUGUGAAAUCUCCACGCUUAACGUGGAGGCGCCACGUGAAACUGCCGUGACUCGAGUCCGGUAGGGGAGUGUGGAAUUCCCGGUGUAGCGGUGAAAUGCGCAGAUAUCGGGAGGAACACCAGUAGCGAAGGCGGCACUCUGGGCCGGUACUGACGCUGAGGAGCGAAAGCGUGGGGAGCGAACAGG